rnacentral:lncRNA from 1 species
CUGGCCAUAUUAAAAGGGUAUAUUUCUCAGAGAAGACCCAUUGAAACAAGUAAUUUUAUUUCUAAUAGGAUGUAUUGCUAUCAUAGUCUUUACAUUCAUAAUGAGUAAUUUGAUUGUGUAGUUAUUUUAUUCACAUAACUUAUCAACAUUCUAGUAGUUAUUAUUUCAAGCAUAUUUUCCUUUCGAUGUUGGGGUGUUUGAGACUAUCUACUUGAGCAUUCUUUCAUUAUGACUAAUUAGUUAAUUUUAACAUGAAAUAGAUUUAUGUUUGGCUUUUUAGUAUUUUCAGUUCACAAAACAUAUUUUAUAUAGAUUCAUUGUUGUUAAACCUACAUUGUAUCCAAACUUGACUUGGACCUUAACUUUUUAUUUGACCUACACCCAUAGCGGAGCUGAAAGUUAAACUGUUAGAAUCUGGAUCUCAUUUCUCUAACCAAAGCUCCUUUUUUUAGGUAUCCCCCUUGGUAAGUGAUACCCGGAACAAUACCUUCCGUAGAUGAAUUUGAGUCAUGUUUUCACUUGUGUUUAUGAUCAAAAAAAUUCAGUGGAUAUCGUCUCAUACUGAUCGAAUGUGUUAUAGUCAACCAGGAUUAAGUUUUAUUUCUCUUACUAACAGAAUUAUAGGAUUAAGUUUGAUUGGCAUACUCGAGAUAUCAUAUUUGCCUAUUUAAUUCGAACCCUGUUUCUUGUAGUUUUGUAUAUCUUAGCAUUAAGAAUAAAAUUUCCUGGUGGCUGAAGAAUUAUUUACUUGGAUCUGCAGAUAUUAGCGUUGGUUGCUGGCAUCAUGCUUGGGUUCCAAGAAUUUUUCUGCCAGAAGAGAAGCGUCACCACAAAGGCAUUCCAUUCAAUGUAGAACUGUGUUGUCUACCAACAUUGUUGCAACAGGUUCAGCCGAGAAAAAUCUUUCCAAUCAGAGAACUGAUAACCGACAAUAACCUGUACAAAAUAGUUGAUCUCUGGUGUUAUCUUGGAGAACAGCUUCUCAUGGAACUCACCAUUGUGGAUUGCAUUAUCACGAGUUGUCAAGACUUGAUUGGCUCACAAUGUUCUGUUUCUACCCUGCAGGUAAUGACUGAACAACAAGGUUUAGGUAUAGUAGAGAGAGAGAAGCAUACGGCUGUGUACGUGUGAUAAGAAGGAAGGCUACGGCAGCAUUCCUUCGUGCUGUGAGAUAUGGAACGUACCUGAAGAUUAAACAGCUAUUCCAGCAAGAGGUGUCUUUCUCUUCCACGCAUAAUUGCAGAAUAGAUGUCUUUGAUCUUCUCCGAGUGGGAAGCUGCGAUUACUUGUCGCCGAUCAUCUCUCCAUCGGAACAUGGCCAGCCAGCCAGAUCUAACAGCAGCCUAAGGAAUUCACUUAUUUGGC